rnacentral:rRNA from 1 species
UACGUAGGGUGCGAGCGUUGUCCGGAAUUACUGGGCGUAAAGAGCUCGUAGGUGGUUUGUCGCGUUGUUCGUGAAAACCUGAGGCUUAACUGUGGGCGUGCGGGCGAUACGGGCAGACUGGAGUACUGCAGGGGAGACUGGAAUUCCUGGUGUAGCGGUGGAAUGCGCAGGAUAUCAGGAGGAACACCGGUGGCGAAGGCGGGUCUCUGGGCCGAUGACUGACGCUGAGGAGCGAAAGCGUGGGGAGCGAACAGG